rnacentral:lncRNA from 1 species
GAAGUUACUAAAGUGUCAUUUGUCAGCUGAAGCAAAAAUGAAAGUAACGUGAAACUUAACCAAUACCACAAUUUACUUGAAAUAAUGUUAUUAUUACCUCUCAUAUAGCAAAUAUAAUGAACUUGUAAUUUAUUUUUCCUUAUUUGAAGUAGUUUUUGCCGCAAUGGACUCUGAUGAGUUGCGCAAUAUUGAGUUCAUUGAUUUAAAUGGAGUCGAUGAAAAAGAACAGCUUCACAUAAGAAACUCCUUGCAGCAGUAUGAUCCCAGUGUACAACUACCAUGGGUGAAAGAGAAAAAGUCGUUUGCAGAAGG